GAGAGGACACCGAGUAGCCACAAACUCGCAGCACCCAUGGAAGCGGCAGCAGCCAGGCCCAAAGGAGGAGCGCUGACAACGAGGCUGCUGCAGAGUUAGCGCGGUGGGACCGGGAAAGAGGUCAGAGCCUUCCGUGCUCCAGGGAAACGGGGCACAACAAGGUGUCCGCUGUGGCAGCGUCAGUCCGAACUCCGCCCUCCCCAGCCCCACAGAGAGGAGCCCUGCAGGAGCAGCACCUGCACUGCCACAGUAGGAGAACACAGGGCAACACCGCCUCCUCUCCGAUCAGCCUCAUCAACUUGUGCUGCAAUUAGGGGAGCUCCAGCUGGAGUCCAGAGGCCUGCAGGGACCUCGGAGAAGCGGGACCUGAAAAUGCAUUGCCUAGCAGUAAAAAACGCCAGCUGAACACCCAGGUCACACCAUCCAGGUGGGGGUAAAUGAAUGGAAAGGCACUGUAUGGCAACGGCAAAACAAUGACCAAUGAGACCUGCGCUCUCUCCACCAGUAUUGCAAGGAAUGUAAAAAAGCGCCUUUAAAAAAUAAAAAAACCAGGGCGGAGGCGCCUGUGGCGACGCCUCCGCGACACAUGGCCCUUG